rnacentral:rRNA from 1 species
UACGUAGGGUGCAAGCGUUAAUCGGAAUUACUGGGCGUAAAGCGUGCGCAGGCGGUUAUGUAAGACAGGUGUGAAAUCCCCGGGCUUAACCUGGGGAACUGCAUUUGUGACUGCAUAGCUAGAGUACGGUAGAGGGGGAUGGAAUUCCGCGUGUAGCAGUGAAAUGCGUAGAUAUCGUGAGGAACACCAGAGGCGAAGGCGGUUUCCUGGACAGUUACUGACGCUCAGGCACGAAAGCAUGGGGAGCAAAAGGG